AAUGAAUUCAUGAAUUCUCUAGGGAGCAGCUGACCAGAUGUUAGCGACUCUUCCAGAGGAGUGGAAAGCGAAGGCCAGGAAGAGUGUAAGUGGAAGGUUUACGAAGAGGAAGGCUGGACAAAGGAUGGGACGUGGA